rnacentral:piRNA from 1 species
UACAUGCCCUAAUUUUGUGUCCAUUGC